rnacentral:rRNA from 1 species
GGACCCGCACAAGUAGUGGAGCAUGUGGUUUAAUUCGAAGAUACGCGCAGAACCUUACCAACACUUGACAUGUUCGUCGCGACUCUAAGAGAUUAAAGUUUUCGGUUCGGCCGGACGAAACACAGGUGCUGCAUGGCUGUCGUCAGCUCGUGUCGUGAGAUGUUGGGUUAAGUCCCGCAACGAGCGCAACCCUCACUUUUAGUUGCCAUCAUUUAGUUGGGCACUCUGAAAGAACUGCCAGUGAUAAGCUGGAGGAAGGUGGGGAUGACGUCAAGUCCUCAUGGCCCUUACGUGUUGGGCUACACACGUGCUACAAUGGUAUCUACAACAGGAAGCAAAACAGCGAUGUUAAAGCAAAAUCCUUAAAAGAUAACCUCAGUUCGGAUUGCACUCUGCAACUCGAAGUGCAUGAAGCUGGAAUUACUAGUAAUCG